UACGAAGGGUGCUAGCGUUGUUCGGAAUUACUGGGCGUAAAGCGCGCGUAGGCGGCGAUACAAGUCAGGGGUGAAAUCCCACAGCUUAACUGUGGAAUUGCCUUUGAAACUGUAUUGCUAGAGUGUCGGAGGGGAUGGUGGAAUUCCAAAUGUAGCGGUGAAAUGCGUAGAUAUUUGGAGGAACACCGGUGGCGAAGGCGACCAUCUGGACGACAACUGACGCUGAGGCGCGAAAGCGUGGGUAGCAAACAGG
rnacentral:misc_RNA from 1 species